AUGUCUUCUAGUUCUAAACGCCCUGGUAAGAAGUAUAAAUCUGGGUAUGAAAAACGUACAAAGAAGAAAAAAGCUGAAAAUCUUAUUCAUUCUCUGAAGGGGUCUCUUGAUAAAUUUGUUGUGAAAGAACCACAAGUUUCUUCCGAAAAUCAGAAUAUAGAGGCUGAUGUUGAUGAUAAUGUUGACAACAUUCAGGUUGAGAAUACUAAUCCUGAUGAGGCUAACCUCCAUGGAAAUGUCGUUGGCGCUAGUGUUAAUGAAAACAUGGAUAGUUCAUCUGAUAAGAAUAACAUGGAUGCAUCUUCCUAUGGUAAUGUUUCUUUCCGGCCAGAUAUAUUUGAUCCAAGGAAUUGGGAUGCCCUUGACUCAAAAGCGAUUGACAUCUUGGUAGAAAAUGGUCCCAAAAGAGAUUUAACUAUAAAAAAAGGCCGGAAGGAUAAAAAUAAAAGAUGCUUUUCUUCGAUAUUUUACACAAGAGUUCUACCAAAUGGAGAGAAGUGUGAUAGAGAUUGGCUUGUAUACUCUAGAGAACUUGACAAGGUAUUCUGCUUUUGUUGCAAAUUAUUUCGAAAGGGGCAUGUAAAGGGUCAUUUUCCUAGUGAGGGUUUUAAUGAUUGGGCACAUAUUAGCAUUAGAAUUAGAGAGCACGAAACAAGUGCCAAACAUGUUCUGAAUAUGGUCACUUGGUAUGAUUUGCGACUACGGUUGCAAAAGCAACAAACUAUUAAUUGUGAAGCGCAGCGACAACUUGAGAAAGAAAAGGACCAUUGGAGAAAAGUUCUAUUUAGAAUUCUUUUGAUGGUAAAAUUUCUUGCGAAACACAAUCUUGCAUUUCGUGGUACUAACUCGACAUUGUAUCAAGAUAAUAAUGGAAAUUUCUUAGGCUUGGUUGAAAUGCUAGCUGAGUUCGACCCAAUUAUUCAGGAGCAUGUUAGGCGCAUAACAAACAAUGAAACUCAUGUUCAUUACCUUGGUCAUGGGAUCCAAAAUGAGUUAAUACAUUUGCUUGCUUCUGCAAUUAAGUAAGAGAUAAUUAAAAAAAUUAAAGAAGCAAAGUAUUUUUCCAUUAUACUUGAUUGUACCCCUGAUGCGAGCCACAAAGAACAAAUGUCUCUGAUAAUACGAUAUGUCAAUGCAUCUUCGACUUUUGUUUCCAUUGAGGAAUCCUUUUUAGGAUUUUUGGAUGUCAAUGAUACAACUGGGCAAGGGCUUUUUGAUGUUUUGCAGGAAGAACUACGGAAUCUUGACCUAGAUAUAGAUGAUGCGAGAGGACAGAGCUACGAUAAUGGUGCGAAUAUGAAAGGUAAGAAUAAUGGUGUUCAAAGGAAACUUUUGGAUAAAAAUCCUAGAGCUUUUUAUUCAGCAUGUGGUUGUCAUAGUCUUAAUUUGACACUUUGUGACAUGGCAAAAACUUGUGGUAAAGCAAAGGACUUUUUUGGAAUCAUACAACGCAUCUACACAACAUUUGCUAAUUCAACUAAAAAGUGGCAGAUCUUGAAAGAUAAUAUAGAUGAUACAACAGGAUUGACUCUCAAGUCGUUGUCAUCUACUCGUUGGGAGAGUCGAAUAGAUAGUGUUAAAGCUAUAAGAUUUCAGCUUUCGAACAUACGAGAAGCUUUACUGCAAGUAUCUGAUAUUGAUAAUGAUCCAAAAACUAGCAGUGAAGCUAAAUCUCUCGCGAAUAAUGAACUUGGUGAUUUUGAAUUUUUAGUAGCUAUUGUUAUUUGGUAUGACUAUGCCGUCAAUCUGGUCAGCAAGAACUUACAAUCAAAGGAUAUGCUUAUUGAUGUUGCUAUUGAGCAAGUGCAGGGGCUAAUUACCUUUUUUAAUGGGUAUAGAGACACUGGUUUUUGUAAUGCAUUGGAAACAGCAAAAGAAAUUGCACUUGAAAUGGAGAUCGAUCCUACAUUUCGUCAAAAGCGUGAGAUUAAAAGAAAGAAACAAUUUGACGAAAACCCACAUGAUGUGUUAAUUUCUUCACAACCUGCACAUGAAUCAUUUAGGAGAAAAUAUUUUAUUCCUGUUGUCGAUCAGGCUAUCAGUUCACUUACAACAAGAUUUGAGCAAUAUGAAUCAUUCCAAAAGAACUUUGGUUUUUUAUUUACUUCUGAUGCACUAAAAUCAUUGGAUGAGAAGAGCUUAAAAUAUUCUUGUAGUGUUCUUGAGGCUGCACUAAAGAGUGGGGGGAAAUCAGACAUUAAUGGUAGUGAAAUAUAUGUUGAGCUAAAUUUACUUAAAAGUUUCAUUCCAAAUGAUAAUAUGGGGCCGGUUGAUAUCUUGAAAUUUCUUAAACGGCUAGAUUGUUUCCCUAGUGCAACUAUUGCAUAUAGAAUUUUGUUAACUAUUCCAGUGACCGUCGUAUCAGCUGAGAGAAGUUUCUCCAAAUUGAAAUUAUUGAAGUCCUAUCUACGUUCAACAAUGACACAAGAAAGGCUCAGUGGGUUGGCUACUAUAGCAAUUGAAAAUGAUAUACUGGAGGGGGUUGCUUAUGAAGAUCUAAUUGAAGAUUUUGUAUCAAGAAAUGCUCAAAGGAUGGCACGCUUUGGCUAA
rnacentral:rRNA from 1 species